rnacentral:rRNA from 1 species
UACGGAAGGUCCGGGCGUUAUCCGGAUUCAUUGGGUUUAAAGGGAGCGCAGGCCGAUGGUUAAGCGUGAAGUGAAAUGUAGCCGCUCAACGGCUGAACUGCGUCGCGAACUGGCUAUCUUGAGUGAGUUCGAUGCUGGCGGAAUUUGUGGUGUAGCGGUGAAAUGCUUAGAUAUCACGGAGAACUCCGAUUGCGAAGGCAGCCAACAAGGCCUUUACUGACGCUAAAGCUCGAAGGUGCGGGUAUCGAAC